AAAGAGGGAUAGAAGAGGUAGGAGGAGAGGGUAGUAAAAGGGGAGAGAUGAAAGAGGGAUAGAAGAGGUAGGAGGAGAGGGUAGUAAAAGGGGAGAGAUGAAAGAGGGAUAGAAGAGGUAGGAGGAGAGGGUAGUAAAAGGGGAGAGAUGAAAGAGGGAUAGAAGAGGUAGGAGGAGAGGGUAGUAAAAGGGGAGAGAUGAAAGAGGGAUAGAAGAGGUAGGAGGAGAGGGUAGUAAAAGGGGAGAGAUGAAAGAGGGAUAGAAGAGGUAGGAGGAGAGGGUAGUAAAAGGGGAGAGAUGAAAGAGGGAUAGAAGAGGUAGGAGGAGAGGGUAGUAAAAGGGGAGAGAUGAAAGAGGGAUAGAAGAGGUAGGAGGAGAGGGUAGUAAAAGGGGAGAGAUGAAAGAGGGAUAGAAGAGGUAGGAGGAGAGGGUAGUAAAAGGGGAGAGAUGAAAGAGGGAUAGAAGAGGUAGGAGAAGAGGGUAGUAAAAGGGGAGAGAUGAAAGAGGGAUAGAGAGGAAGACAUGAGAAAGUCAGUGGAAAAGUAAUAAGAAAAGGGUCAUUUGUAAUAACUGGUAAACAUUCUUUACUAUUCAAUGGGUUGUUUUUUACCAGGCCUCAAAUUGAGAACAACUUACUUCCACAGAGAUGAUAUAUUUCAUUAUUUAACACUCAGGAAGUGACCUCACAGUGGAGAGGA